rnacentral:rRNA from 1 species
GUCCACGCCGUAAACGAUGUCAACUAGCCGUUGGUCCUAUAUACAGGAUUAGUGGCGCAGCUAACGCAUUAAGUUGACCGCCUGGGGAGUACGGCCGCAAGGUUAAAACUCAAAUGAAUUGACGGGGCCGCACAAGCGGUGGAGCAUGUGGUUUAAUUCGAUGCAACGCGAAGAACCUUACCUACCCUUGACAUCCAGAGAAUCUGUUAGAGAUAGUAGAGUGCCUUCGGGAGCUCUGAGACAGGUGCUGCAUGGCUGUCGU